rnacentral:lncRNA from 1 species
CAAAUAUGGGCUGGAUUUAACUUGGACUUAGCUCUUAGCCCAACUCUUAUUCAUCUUUCCUGUUGCUGAGCGUUAGGCUGCCCCACCACUACCCCGUGCCUCAUAGGUUUUUUGUUUUUUUGACAGUCUUGCUGUGUUACCUAGGCUGGAGUGCAGUGGGGCCAUCUCAGCUCACUACAACCUCUGCCUCCCGGGUUCAAGUGAUUCUCCUACCUCAGCCUCCUGAGUAACUGGGAUUACAGGCAUGCACCACCAUGCCCAGCGAAUUGUUGUAUUUUUAGUAGAACAGGGUUUUGCCAUUUUGCUCAUGCUGGUCUCGAAGUGCGGCCUCAAACAAUCCGCCCACCUCAGCCUCCCAAAAUGCUGGCGUGAGCCACUGGGCCCGGCCAGGUUUGGUUUUUCCAUCUUUACUUAAUUAAGACUACCAGCUGUUUCUACCUCCCGUAUGGAAGAUGCUGGGAAUUGGCUUGCAAUCAGCCAUUUCUCCAAGGAGUCCUGGUUCCUUUGGUGGAAAUAUUAGGUUAGUGUCAAAGUAAUUGCAGUUUGCCAAAGUAAUUACUUUUGCACCAAUCUUAAUAGCAUUUAUAAGUCACCAUCUGGGUACCAGAAGCACUCAUUGUUUCUGUGUUCAAUAAUGCUAGACCUUUUCAGAGGACACAGGACCGUUUAAAAAAAUUUUUUUAAGAAGAAAAAUGAGUUCAUUCUGAGACUUUCAUUUCGAAUUCAGAAGUCUAGGGUUUUUGCUUCAUCUUAAAGAUUUUUUUUUUUUUUUG